UACGGCCAUAUCACGUUGAAUUACCGGUUCCCGUACGAUCACCGAAGUUAAGCAACAUUGAGCCUGAUCAGUACUUAGAUGGAUGACCGCUUGGGAAUACCAGGUGCU